rnacentral:misc_RNA from 1 species
AAGUCGUAACAAGGUUUCCGUAGGUGAACCUGCGGAAGGAUCAUUAAUGAAUGAAUGUGGAGUUGGUUGUAGCUGGCCUGCCUGAGGCAUGUGCACGCCUUCUCCUUCAUCCACACACCCCUGUGCACCUGUGAGACGGAGGCAUUUUCCUUUAAUCGGGAUGGUCUGCGUCUACUAUCACAUAAAAUCUAAUUUAUUUAAAACUGAAUGUAAUUGAUGUAACGCAUCUAAUACAAAGUUUCAACAACGGAUCUCUUGGCUCUC